ensembl:lncRNA
AGCAAAGUUAAAACAACAGCAGCAGAGGAAGAAAACAGCGUGAAUCCAGUUUAGCAGACUAAUAUCAACACUACUUUCCUUUCUGCAGGAAAGUCACUGAUGGGUACCUGACCUGAUCUUACCUAACCAAUGGGAAGACCAGCAACUCCACCAGCCUCUACAACAGGCCAUAGACUGCCAGCUUGGAUGAGAAAGUGUCAAGCUCUACUGGGGCACAGCAAGAUGGAAACUACCCUCCAGGGGGCACUCAUUCUCCACAGCAUCCUGGGAGGAGUUCUUUCUCCAGCUCUGGGUGAAACAAUCUUCCAGUGGAGCAUGAAGGCCUUCUCCACAGACGCCAUUCUUGGCCACUGGAUUUUCUGAUAACUGUGGCACUCCUUAGAAAUCUCCACCCAUGUCAUUCUGAGGUUCAAUAUAUCUUUAUAAGGAGGUAAGGCAGUUAGGAUAAAGAUUCGGCUAUCAGUGCUACUAAAGAACUUCACCCAUAAGCCUCUCGCACUGACCAUGUACUUUUUUUGUCUUAAGUGAAUGCUUAAAAAUAAAAUACACAACAAAAAGCCACCUGCAAAUCACAGGAGUAGGCUAAUUGAAAGGUGUAUCUACUACUGACACCGGGUGAGGGAUCUGCAGAACAAGGACACUUCCAGAGCUAAUACAAUCCUUUCUCAUUUUCCUAAUUUAUAGUAAUAGCCAAACCAGAGUCCAGGAAGAGAUGAACUAAAAAUAUUGAGGUCAUGUGUCUAUUUAAUGCAGCAGUUAGCAGCAGUGGAUUUACAGGAGAAACUAAGGGGCACGUACUCCGGGUCAUGAGCUGAAGAAAAUGCUGCUCUCUCUGUAUCACCAGUACAGCUGCAUCCAGCCCUGGCUAAGGAUGUGGCAGCUCUAUUCUUUCACUUACUGGGCUGGAAUAUUCCCCCCACAGGCAGGCUUGGGCCCCAGCUUUAGCUCUUACAUUGCAUUGCCAGCUCCAAAGAAGUCCUGGGGCUGCUCUGCCCUGGAGAUGGGUAGAAGCUACACAGCUUAUUGGGCAGACACGUGUACUUAAUGUAUUUCUUACCCCUGGUACAUGCCAAAGGCAGCAUAGCCCAGUGGAUCUCAGUAGAGAAUUGAGAAAACUGGGUUCUGCGUAUGACCACUCUGUCUCUCUGGAUUUGUUUCCUCUUCCUUCAGUACAAAUGAAUAAUGAAUCUGGUCUUUCUUUCCCCUUCUGUAAGCCCUAACAGUAAUGACAGCCCUCAGGCUACAACAAUCCACGUGGAACUACUGUAAAGCAUGGAGAAAUUAACUGUAUCGAGUGUCUGCCAGGAGUUCAAAACAAAAAUGGCCUCCUUGUGCAGGAGAAAAUGAGGAAGUUUUCUUAUGCUCACCUUCAUUCUACAGAAUGGAAAGGUUUUUGUGCAGCCCUCUCAGCUUCCAUGAUUUACAUUUGCCAGGGAAGGAGGGGUUUCUCCACACCAGGUCAGGGAGAUGCUUAGUAUUUGCAGGGAAGCUCUGGUUUUAGCCAUCUUGUGCUCCUUCAAGCUGCUGUUUUUACCUUCAACAUUAUUCCCUCUAACUUCAGAAAUCUACUUCUUUUUUACUUGGACAAGAAAAUUUAACCACACCGAUCGGCAACUGCAAAGU